rnacentral:sRNA from 2 species
UUAUGUAUAAUGCCGAAUCCUUAUAAGGUACGGGGGACCCAAUACACAUAUAGGGGUGAAUCCGCUACGCGGUAGGGCGUUCUUAACAUCUUCUCUUUGGCCCGAAUCCGACAGCUAACCCCGGAGGCUAACGUGUAAGGUUUU